rnacentral:rRNA from 1 species
UACGUAGGGGGCAAGCGUUGUCCGGAAUUAUUGGGCGUAAAGAGCUCGUAGGCGGUUUGUUACGUCGGAUGUGAAAACCCGAGGCUUAACCUCGGGCCUGCAUUCGAUACGGGCAGACUCGAGUGUGGUAGGGGAGACUGGAACUCCUGGUGUAGCGGUGAAAUGCGCAGAUAUCAGGAAGAACACCGGUGGCGAAGGCGGGUCUCUGGGCCACCACUGACGCUGAGGAGCGAAAGCGUGGGGAGCGAACAGG